rnacentral:rRNA from 1 species
UACGAAGGGUGCAAGCGUUAAUCGGAAUUACUGGGCGUAAAGCGCGCGUAGGUGGUUCAGUAAGUUGGAAGUGAAAUCCCCGGGCUCAACCUGGGAACUGCUUUCAAAACUGCUGAGCUAGAGUACGGUAGAGGGUGGUGGAAUUUCCUGUGUAGCGGUGAAAUGCGUAGAUAUAGGAUGGAACACCAGUGGCGAAGGCGACCACCUGGACUGAUACUGACACUGAGGUGCGAAAGCGUGGGGAGCAAACAGG